rnacentral:misc_RNA from 1 species
GCUCUCAGUCCAGCGGUGCGCAGUCGGUUCCUGAUGGUCUGUGUGGUUACCCUCCCUCCCAGGAGCACCCUGCUGGUGAAAGUUGCUGUCGUAAAGCGGUCACGGAGAUGACGUAAACGGAUGUACCGGUCCUCCCUCUGUGACGUCAUACGCCGAGGACCUGGUCAGGGGCGAUCUGCAACUGACCCAGUUUGAUGAUGACGGGUCCUCAGGUUAUUUAUUGUUUGUCUGCUGCAACCAAACGCACGUGCAACGACCGUCACGGACUGCCCUCCGUCUAGACGCUCUAUGGCGCGAUUUCGUUCUUCAUUUGACAGUCUCGGCAUUUCCAAUAACAACAAAUUCAGUAGCGAAAGUGUGUUUUUCCAAGUGAUGUGACAACAGGCUACAAGUUUCAAUCGAUGUGGGACGCGAAAUGCAAUUCGUGCCAAUUCUGCACGUGCAAAACAUGAUUUCCAUCAAUUUGACCCUGCACAUGCGCUCACGUGUUUCGCAAGCAAUCUGAUCAGCUUGUUGGCAAGCUAGUGUCAAGGAUUGUUAAGAUGUCGUCACCAAACCUGAACAACAUCACGUUGGUUGGAUGUUUUGUUCUUUACGGCUCAGUGUUCCUGGAGAGCACCACUUCUGCUGUGCCAUUCUGUCAGGCAAAAAUCGUGUCCAUAGCUGUUGGCUUCUCAUUGGCUUUUGGUGGCUUGUUUGCGAAAACGUGGCGCGUGUAUCUUAUAUUCACAAAUGGCGCAAAGCAAAAGAAGAUUGUCAAGGAUUCACAGCUCUUUCUGAUGGUUUCUAUGCUGAUCACUAUUAACAUAAGCAUCAUCAUCAUCUGGUUUAUGAUAGACCCCCUAGAUGUCACCAUUGAAAACCUUCCAACAGAGUUCAACCAUAUAGAUGACAUCGAAGUUCACAAGGACAUAGUAAACUGUACAUCAUCCAACCAGAUAUAUUUCAUGGGCACCCUGUUCGGGGUUCAAGGCAUAAUCCUGUUGUUUGGUGUUUUUCUGUCAUUACAGACACGAAAGGUGACCGUGGAUGGUCUGAACGACUCCAAGAUGAUUGGUGUCUGCAUCUACAACGUCGUCGUCCUCAGCUUCCUCGGCGUCAUGGUCUCCUUGACGCUCAAAUCCAACGUCGACCUCCACUAUGGCAUCAUCUCAUGUAUCAUCAUCCUGGCAACAACAGUCACACAGUGUCUUAUCAUUAUACCUAAGAUAAAAGGCCACUUCAACAACAGUUCUCGUGUUGGAAACAACGAAGCUACCACCAUCAGGACCGUGACGAGAUUCACAAGGGCGGAACCAACGGCGUAAACAGAACACUGUUUAUCAUCUCUACUUAAGGUUCAUCAUCUCAGAUAAUAUCUGCUGAGAAUGAAUUAUCUUAGAUCAUCUCUAUUAAAAAUGGAUCAUUUUGAACAAUCUUCUCUACUCAAGGUAGAAUCGUGCAGAUUCACAAUCUUCUCUACUCAAGGUGGACCAUCCUCGACAGACUUCCCUAUUCAAGGUGUAUCAUUUUAGAUAAUCUCUAUUCAAGGUGGAUCGUGUUAUAUAGUCUGUAUUGAAUUUGGAUAAUUUUGGACAGUCCUUUCUAUUCUUCUCAACUUAAGUGGAUCCUCAUGAACAAUCUUCUCUACUCAAUAUCGAUCAUCAUGGAGAAGAUGAGUCAGCUUGGACAAUCUUCUCUACUCAAGGUAGAUAUCUUGGAUAAUCUUCUUUACUCAAAGUUGAUCAUCUUGGACAAUCUUCUGUACUCAAGGUAGAUAUCUUGGACAAUCUUUUGUACUCAAGGUAGAUAUCUUGAACAAUCUUCUUUACUCAAGGUUGAUCAUCUUUGACAAUCUUCUUUACUCAAGGUUGAUCAUCGUGGACAAUUGUCUGUUUCUUGGGUUCUCGUAACCGCCUUCCUGUCUCAACUUCCUCCACAGGUCCAGUCUGUGUGUACUUUACUGCAGCCGCCCGAUAUCCUCGUCCUCUGCCGCUGAUAAAUCUGGUCUGACCCAUGGCACUAACUAACGACCGCUGGUAGUAGGAGUGUAAUAGGUGGGUACAGGUACCUUGUAACAAUGCCAGAAGUAAAUAACAUAACUGAACACUCUCUAAAGUGACAGGUCAUUAUGAUGGGUUGCCACCCCAUACACACAGGUAACAGCCUACUCAGCACCAUUAUGACAGGUCAUUAUGAUGGGUUGCCACCCCAUACACACAGGUAACAGCCUACUCAGCACCAUUAUGACAGGUCAUUAAGCCCACAACUAACGCUGGUGGGAAUGACAGGUGUAUAGCAUGGAUGGCCAUAGAGACAAGCAGCCGUCGCGGUUGGAGAGACAAGGACUGAGAAGUGGAAGUGGACAACGAAAGAAAUUGACACAUAUGAGACGCUGUCAUAUCGGGAAGAAAUAAGAUGGAAUUGAAAGGAAAGAAAGACAAUGGGGUAGUGGGAUUAAAUAAAACGGAGGAUUAUAAUUGUUUCCAUGGAAGGAUAGUGCUAUGUAAUGAAUGUUGUAUAUAUAAUUAUACUUUACACGACUAUAUUUUGUAUUUUGUUUUAUUGAAAGUUGGGCUGCAAUUCUUUCCAUUGGCAAAUAGCGCUGUAAGGCCGGCCUCGGUGGUGUAGUGGUUAUUGGGUAGGUAUUGGGUUCGCCUCGCCACCGGGUAGAUGUAAGGCCACUGCACCGACUUCUCUCUCACUACAGUCGAGAUAGCAGAGGUGUGUGCCCAGUGUGUAACUGUGUAGGUUAAUCACCAUUUGUUGGCUGUGUGUGUUGCUUUAUCAACACGUCGGAUGUACAUGCUGGUAUGUUAAGAAUAAAGAGUCCUAUGAAGGUUGCCAUGUGUAGCAAUCAUGGUUUAUACGAAAACAUGUAUACAUUGGUUGCAGUGUUUUCUUCUCAGAUUAUAAAAUAUAAAUAUGUGAAUAAUAUAUACAUCUUUGUACCUGGAGUCUUUCGUGUACAGAUAAAUGAUUUUCUAUAUAUGCUGUUUUGUUGCCUCAAUAAAUUUAAAAUCGACA